rnacentral:rRNA from 1 species
UACGGAGGUGCGAGCGUUGUCCGGAAUCAUUGGGCGUAAAGGGCGCGUAGGUGGCCGGUCAGUUCGUGGUGAAAGCGCGGGGCUAACCCCGAGUCGGCCAUGCGAACUGGUGGACUGGAGCAUGUCAGAGGCAGGCGGAAUUCCGGGUGUAGCGGUGGAAAUGCGUAGAGAUCCGGAAGAACACCGGUGGCGAAGGCGGCCUCUGGGACAUUGC